rnacentral:rRNA from 1 species
UACAGAGGGUGCGAGCGUUGUUCGGAAUUACUGGGCGUAAAGCGCGCGCAGGCGGCCCUUUAAGUCUACCCGUGAAAUGCCGGAGCUCAACUCCGUGCACGCCGGGGGAUCCUGGAGGGCUGGAGACGAGUAGAGGCAAGCGGAAUUCCGGGUGUAGCGGUGGAAUGCGUAGAGAUCCGGAAGAACACCGGAGGCGAAGGCGGCUUGCUGGGCUUGGUCUGACGCUGAGGGACGAAAGCCAGGGUAGCGAACGGG